GAUGAACGCUGGCGGCGUGCUUAACACAUGCAAGUCGAACGAAGCACCUUGAUUCGAUUCUUCGGAUGAAGAUCUUGGUGACUGAGUGGCGGACGGGUGAGUAACGCGUGGGUAACCUGCCUCAUACAGGGGGAUAACAGUUAGAAAUGACUGCUAAUACCGCAUAAGACCACAGCACCGCAUGGUGCAGGGGUAAAAACUCCGGUGGUAUGAGAUGGACCCGCGUCUGAUUAGGUAGUUGGUGGGGUAACGGCCUACCAAGCCGACGAUCAGUAGCCGACCUGAGAGGGUGACCGGCCAUAUUGGGACUGAGACACGGCCCAAACUCCUACGGGAGGCAGCAGUGGGGAAUAUUGCACAAUGGGGGAAACCCUGAUGCAGCGACGCCGCGUGAGCGAUGAAGUAUUUCGGUAUGUAAAGCUCUAUCAGCAGGGAAGAAAAUGACGGUACCUGACUAAGAAGCACCGGCUAAAUACGUG
rnacentral:rRNA from 1 species